rnacentral:rRNA from 1 species
UACGUAGGGUGCGAGCGUUGUCCGGAAUUAUUGGGCGUAAAGGGCUCGUAGGCGGUCUGUUGCGUCAGGAGUGAAAACUCGGGGCUUAACCCCGAGCCUGCUUCUGAUACGGGCAGACUAGAGGUAUGCAGGGGAGAACGGAAUUCCUGGUGUAGCGGUGAAAUGCGCAGAUAUCAGGAGGAAUACCGGUGGCGAAGGCGGCAUCCUGGACCGGCAUUGACGCUGAGGAGCGAAAGCUAGGGGAGCAAACGGG